CCACAUGCUAUCGGAUGCGCCUACGUGGGAUUAGCUAGUUGGUGAGGUAAUGGCUCACCAAGGCGACGAUCCCUAGCUGGUUUGAGAGGAUGAUCAGCCACACUGGAACUGAGACACGGUCCAGACUCCUACGGGAGGCAGCAGUGGGGAAUAUUGGACAAUGGGCGCAAGCCUGAUCCAGCCAUGCCGCGUGUGUGAAGAAGGCCAUCGGGUUGUAAAGCACUUUCAGUUGGGAGGAAGGGUUGUGUGUUAAUAGUACACAGCCUUGACGUUACCAACAGAAGAAGCACCGGCUAACUCUGUGCCAGCAGCCGCGGUAAUACAGAGGGUGCAAGCGUUAAUCGGAAUUACUGGGCGUAAAGCGCACGUAGGCGGUUUUUUAAGUCAGAUGUGAAAGCCCCGGGCUCAACCUGGGAAUUGCAUUUGAAACUGGAAAACUAGAGUGUGUGAGAGGGGGGUAGAAUUCCAAGUGUAGCGGUGAAAUGNCGNUAGAGNAUNUUGGAGGNAAUACCAGUGGCGAAGGCGGCCCCCUGGCACAACACUGACGCUCAGGUGCGAAAGCGUGGGGAGCAAACAGGAUUAGAUACCCUGGUAGUCCACGCCGUAAACGAUGUCUACUAGCUGUUCGUGACCUUGUGUCGUGAGUAGCGCAGCUAACGCACUAAGUAGACCGCCCUGGGNAGUACGGUCGCAAGAUUAAAACUCAAAUGAAUUGACGGGGGCCCGCACAAGCGGUGGAGCAUGUGGUUUAAUUCGACGCAACGCGAAGAACCUUACCUACUCUUGACAUCCAGAGAAGACUGCAGAGAUGCGGUUGUGCCUUCGGGAACUCUGAGACAGGUGCUGCAUGGCUGUCGUCAGCUCGUGUUGUGAAAUGUUGGGUUAAGUCCCGCAACGAGCGCAACCCUUAUCCUUAGUUGCCAGCACGUAAUGGUGGGAACUCUAGGGAGACUGCCGGUGAUAAGACC
rnacentral:rRNA from 1 species